GACGUAGGGUCCAAGCGUUGUCCGGAUUUACUGGGCGUAAAGAGCGCGUAGGCGGUCUGUUAAGUGUGAAGUGAAAUCUCCAGGGCUCAACCCGGAAACUGCUUCGCAUACUGGCAGACUUGAGGGAUGCAGAGGUUUGUGGAAUUCCUGGUGUAGCGGUGAAAUGCGUUGAUAUCAGGAGGAACACCCAUGGCGAAGGCAGCAAACUGGGCAUCAUCUGACGCUGAGGCGCGAAAGCGUGGGUAGCAAACAGG
rnacentral:rRNA from 1 species